GCCCUCAUUGUCUAAUGGUCAUGACGUCAGACUUCUACAUGAAGGGUAUCUGGAGGUUCCGGGUUCGAGUCCCGGUGGGGGUA
rnacentral:tRNA from 1 species